UACGGGGGGGGCAAGCGUUGUUCGGAAUUACUGGGCGUAAAGGGCUCGUAGGCGGCCAACUAAGUCAUACGUGAAAUCCCUCGGCUUAACCGGGGAACUGCGUCUGAUACUGGAUGGCUUGAGAUUGGGAGAGGGAUGCGGAAUUCCAGGUGUAGCGGUGAAAUGCGUAGAUAUCUGGAGGAACACCGGUGGCGAAGGCGGCAUCCUGGACCAACACUGACGCUGAGACGCGAAAGCGUGGGGAGCAAACAGG
rnacentral:rRNA from 1 species